GACGAACGCUGGCGGCGUGCUUAAUACAUGCAAGUCGAGCGAACAGAUGAGGAGCUUGCUGCUCUGACGUUAGCGGCGGACGGGUGAGUAACACGAGGAUAACCUACCUAUCAGACUGGGAUAACUUCGGGAAACCGGAGCUAAUACCGGAUAAUAUAUUGAACCGCAUGGUUCAAUAGUGAAAGACGGUUUUGCUGUCACGUAUAGAUGGAUCCGCGCCGCAUUAGCUAGUUGGUAAGGUAACGGCUUACCAAGGAAACGAUGCGUAGCCGACCUGAGAGGGUGAUCGGCCGCACUGGAACGGAGACACGGUCCAGACUCCUACGGGAGGCAGCAGUAGGGAAUCUUCCGCAAUGGGCGGGAGCCUGCCGGAGCAACGCCACGUGAGUGAUGGAGGUCUUCGGAUCGUAAAACUCUGUUAUUAGGGAAGAACAAAUGUGUACGUAACUGUGCACGUCUUGACGGUACCUAGUCAGAAAGCCACGGCUAACUACGUG
rnacentral:rRNA from 1 species